UACGUAGGGUGCGAGCGUUGUCCGGAAUUAUUGGGCGUAAAGGGCUCGUAGGCGGUUUGUCGCGUCGGGAGUGAAAACUCAAGGGCUUAACCCUGAGCCUGCUUCCGAUACGGGCAGACUAGAGGUAUGCAGGGGAGAACGGGAAUUCCUGGUGUAGCGGUGGAAUGCGCAGAAUAUCAGGAGGAACACCAAUAGCGAAGGCAGCUCGCUGGGACGGUAACUGACGCUGGAGGAGCGAAAGCGUGGGGAGGCGAACAGGA
rnacentral:rRNA from 1 species